GUAAUAUAGUAAUUUAACUAUUUGAUAGUUAUUAUUUUCAAGUAAGUGUAUACUUUAAAAUGUAGGAUGAUAAGUGUACUAUAGGUUAAAAUUAAUAUAUCGUAAUAUUUUCUAAGCUGAAAUAAUGCUCUAUUCCCUAUAAUUUUUUAGGGAUCAGAAUUAAGGGAUUUUAGGGUUUAAGGAUUACGGCUUAGGAUUUUUAAGAUUUUUAGGGUUUAGAAUUUUUAGGGAUUAAGACUUAGGAUUUAGAUUUAGGAUUUAUGGUUUAGAGUUUAAGGUUUACGAUUUAGAUUUUAGUGUUUAGUGCUUAUGGUUUAGAGUUUAAGGGUUAUCAAUUAGGGAUUAGAG
rnacentral:lncRNA from 1 species